rnacentral:rRNA from 1 species
CUUGAGUGGAUCCUGAGUACGACGGAACACGUGAAAUUCCGUCGGAAUCUGGGAGGACCAUCUCCUAAGGCUAAAUACUCUCUAGUGACCGAUAGUGAACCAGUACCGUGAGGGAAAGGUGAAAAGCACCCCGGAAGGGGAGUGAAAUAGAACCUGAAACCGUGUGCUUACAAGUAGUCAGAGCCCGUUAAUGGGUGAUGGCGUGCCUUUUGUAGAAUGAACCGGCGAGUUACGAUUUGAUGCAAGGUUAAGCAGUAAAUGUGGAGCCGUAGCGAAAGCGAGUCUGAAUAGGGCGUUUAGUAUUUGGUCGUAGACCCGAAACCAGGUGAUCUACCCUUGGUCAGGUUGAAGUUCAGGUAACACUGAAUGGAGGACCGAACCGACUUACGUUGAAAAGUGAGCGGAUGAACUGAGGGUAGCGGAGAAAUUCCAAUCGAACCUGGAGAUAGCUGGUUCUCUCCGAAAUAGCUUUAGGGCUAGCCUCAAGUGAUGAUUAUUGGAGGUAGAGCACUGUUUGGACGAGGGGCCCCUCUCGGGUUACCGAAUUCAGACAAACUCCGAAUGCCAAUUAAUUUAACUUGGGAGUCAGAACAUGGGUGAUAAGGUCCGUGUUCGAAAGGGAAACAGCCCAGACCACCAGCUAAGGUCCCAAAAUAUAUGUUAAGUGGAAAAGGAUGUGGCGUUGCCCAGACAACUAGGAUGUUGGCUUAGAAGCAGCCAUCAUUUAAAGAGUGCGUAAUAGCUCACUAGUCGAGUGACACUGCGCCGAAAAUGUACCGGGGCUAAACAUAUUACCGAAGCUGUGGAUUGUCCUUUGGACAAUGGUAGGAGAGCGUUCUAAGGGCGUUGAAGCAUGAUCGUAAGGACAUGUGGAGCGCUUAGAAGUGAGAAUGCCGGUGUGAGUAGCGAAAGACGGGUGAGAAUCCCGUCCACCGAUUGACUAAGGUUUCCAGAGGAAGGCUCGUCCGCUCUGGGUUAGUCGGGUCCUAAGCUGAGGCCGACAGGCGUAGGCGAUGGAUAACAGGUUGAUAUUCCUGUACCACCUAUAAUCGUUUUA